UACGUAGGGACCAAGCGUUGUUCGGAUUUACUGGGCGUAAAGGGCGCGUAGGCGGCGUGUUAAGUCAGCUGUGAAAUCUCCGAGCUUAACUCGGAACGGCCAAUCGAUACUGACGUGCUAGAGUGCAGAAAGGGCAAUCGGAAUUCUUGGUGUAGCGGUGAAAUGCGUAGAUAUCAAGAGGAACACCUGAGGCGAAGGCGGGUUGCUAGGCUGACACUGACGCUGAGUGCGCGAAAGCCAGGGGAGCAAACGGG
rnacentral:rRNA from 1 species